rnacentral:rRNA from 1 species
AACGAACGCUGGCGGCAGGCCUAACACAUGCAAGUCGAGCGAGGACUUCGGUUCUAGCGGCGGACGGGUGAGUAACGCGUGGGAAUGUGCCCUUCUCUACGGAAUAGCCCUGGGAAACUGGGAGUAAUACCGUAUACGCCCUAUUGGGGAAAGAUUUAUCGGAGAAGGAUCAGCCCGCGUUGGAUUAGGUAGUUGGUGGGGUAAUGGCCUACCAAGCCGACGAUCCAUAGCUGGUUUGAGAGGAUGAUCAGCCACACUGGGACUGAGACACGGCCCAGACUCCUACGGGAGGCAGCAGUGGGGAAUCUUAGACAAUGGGGGCAAACCUGAUAUAGCCAUGCCGCGGGAGUGAUGAAGGCCUUAGGGUUGUAAAGCUCUUUCAGCUGGGAAGAUAAUGACGGUACCAGCAGAAGAAGCCCCGGCUAACUCCGUG